UACGUAGGAGGCGAGCGUUGUCCGGAGUACUGGGCGUAAAGCGCACGCAGGCGGUCUUGUAAGUCUCAGGUGACAGUCCCCGGCUUAACUGGGGAAGUGUCUGGGAAACUGCAAGACUUGAGGGCUUCAGAGGGACAUGGAAUUCCAGGUGGAGUGGUCGAAAUGCGUAGAUAUCAGGAGGAACACCAGCGGCGAAGGCGGCGCUCUGGGCCGGUACCUGACGCUGAGGAGCGAAAGCGUGGGUAGCAAACAGG
rnacentral:rRNA from 1 species